rnacentral:rRNA from 1 species
UGGACAGCAUACUUUAUGAUCUGAUCUCAAAUCA